GGAUUUUUUUAAUUCCUUCUUAAUUACGUAUGUAGACAAUAAAUUUGCGCCGAGAAAAUAAAAUCAAGACGGAAAAAUAUCACAACAAUCGUAGUAUUUUAUUUCAAAUAUUUGAGUGUUAUAAUCUCUAUGAAUCCUCUGAUUCUUUUUUCCAAUAGUAAAUAAAUUCAAGGGCCUUUGUGCUUGAUCUUGAAUCUAUAUUUAUUUCCACGAACGAUGAUCUUGUUCUUGAUCUUGAGCUUGAGCUUGAUUGCUUGAACCUG
rnacentral:lncRNA from 1 species